ACGGGUGAGUAAUGCCUAGGAAUCUGCCUGGUAGUGGGGGACAACGUUUCGAAAGGAACGCUAAUACCGCAUACGUCCUACGGGAGAAAGCAGGGGACCUUCGGGCCUUGCGCUAUCAGAUGAGCCUAGGUCGGAUUAGCUAGUUGGUGAGGUAAUGGCUCACCAAGGCUACGAUCCGUAACUGGUCUGAGAGGAUGAUCAGUCACACUGGAACUGAGACACGGUCCAGACUCCUACGGGAGGCAGCAGUGGGGAAUAUUGGACAAUGGGCGAAAGCCUGAUCCAGCCAUGCCGCGUGUGUGAAGAAGGUCUUCGGAUUGUAAAGCACUUUAAGUUGGGAGGAAGGGUUGUAGAUUAAUACUCUGCAAUUUUGACGUUACCGACAGAAUAAGCACCGGCUAACUCUGUGCCAGCAGCCGCGGUAAUACAGAGGGUGCAAGCGUUAAUCGGAAUUACUGGGCGUAAAGCGCGCGUAGGUGGUUCGUUAAGUUGGAUGUGAAAUCCCCGGGCUCAACCUGGGAACUGCAUCCAAAACUGGCGAGCUAGAGUAUGGUAGAGGGUGGUGGAAUUUCCUGUGUAGCGGUGAAAUG
rnacentral:rRNA from 1 species